GCCGUCAUAGCUCAGUUGGAUAGAGCACAGGACUUCUAAUCCUGGGGUCGUGGGUUCGAGCCCAUUGUCGGUA
rnacentral:tRNA from 1 species